GGGGAAUAUUGCACAAUGGGCGAAAGCCUGAUGCAGCGACGCCGCGUGAGGGAUGACGGCCUUCGGGUUGUAAACCUCUUUCAGUAGGGAAGAAGCGAAAGUGACGGUACCUGCAGAAGAAGCGCCGGCUAACUACGUGCCAGCAGCCGCGGUAAUACGUAGGGCGCAAGCGUUAUCCGGAUUUAUUGGGCGUAAAGAGCUCGUAGGCGGUUUGUCGCGUCUGCCGUGAAAGUCCGAGGCUCAACCUCGGAUCUGCGGUGGGUACGGGCAGACUAGAGUGAUGUAGGGGAGACUGGAAUUCCUGGUGUAGCGGUGAAAUGCGCAGAUAUCAGGAGGAACACCGAUGGCGAAGGCAGGUCUCUGGGCAUCUACUGACGCUGAGGAGCGAAAGCAUGGGGAGCGAAC
rnacentral:rRNA from 1 species